rnacentral:rRNA from 1 species
UUGGAGGGCAAGUCUGGUGCCAGCAGCCGCGGUAAUUCCAGCUCCAAUAGCGUAUAUUAAAGUUGUUGCAGUUAAAAAGCUCGUAGUUGAAUUUCGAGAUCAGUACGCUGGUCGUGCCUUCGGUAUGCACUGGUGUCACUGGUUUCUCCCUUCUGAAGAACCGUCAUGUCAUUAAGUUGGUGUGGCGGGGAAUCAGGACUGUUACUUUGAAAAAAUUAGAGUGUUUAAAGCAGGCUCGCGCUUGAAUACAUUAGCAUGGAAUAAUGAAAUAGGACGUUUGACCCUAUUUUGUUGGUUUCUAGGAUCGACGUAAUGAUUAAUAGGGAUAGUUGGGGGCAUUAGUAUUCAAUUGUCAGAGGUGAAAUUCUUGGAUUUAUUGAAGACUAACUACUGCGAAAGCAUUUGCCAAGGAUGUUUUCAUUAAUCAAGAACGAAAGUUAGGGGAUCGAAGACGAUCAGAUACCGUCGUAGUCUUAACCAUAAACUAUGCCGACUAGGGAUCGGAUGAUGUUAAUUUUAUAAUGACUCAUUCGGCGCCUUACGGGAAAC